rnacentral:lncRNA from 1 species
UUUAUUUAUUGUGCACGUGCACAUAGCCCACAUACAGAUCGUUAAAACCCGACCGAAACAGCGGUUCCCGGAAACUGCGUGCUCUUCGCUCCUCCGAUUUUCAUUCUGACCGGCUUCUCUUUUGUAACGGUACGCCAUUUUCGUGAUUCUGUUUUCUUCAAGGAAAAUAUUUGUGUCUUCUUCUCUUUUGGUUGUGUUUCGCUGAGCUUCUUCAUUGCAUUUUCGCCUGAAUAUUAGUGUAAUAUCCAGAACUGAUUCAUGAUUUGGAAAGAAAUUAGGGUUUUUUUGUAAGCGAAUUUUUAUUUCUUAAAAAGUGCAUUAGGUUAUGAAAUUAAUCUACUAAAUUUUUUGAUGCUGGACAUUUACUUGCUAGUGUUCAUUUCUACUGCACAACACUUUUCCUAUCCUGAGUCCUGACCUAGCCAAUUUGAAUAAAUAACUUUGAAAUAUGGAUGAUUUGGUUUAAAAUUAAGAUAUUGGUUUAAGAAAGAUAAAUAAGGUAUUUAUGCAAGUUUUAUUAUUUAUUAUUAUUCAGAGGUUUCCAAGAUGGACUUAUAUCAUCACCAGUGACGGAUGAACUAACAUAGAAUUAGCCGAAAUUAUCAGCUCCUCCAGAAACCACAAUGGGGCUCCUGACCUUGUGCUUGCCAGUUUCCUCGACCCAAGUGAGUGAACCAAAUGUCGGAAAUGAAUCAAUAUCGCCCCUGUAACGAAUGUUUAAGGAAUAACUCUGCUUCUCGUAUUUCUUUUGAAACACUAAUGUCUUUGGCUGAAUUCUAACUCUGGUAUUCGCAGGUUUUUCCAGCUUAACUUUAUACGUGGCUGCACCAUCUGCUACAUUCGUCACCGUCCUGUGGAAUGUCCGGUUAAACGUCAUCCCUCUUUCGUCAAAGUUAAAAAGAGCAAUGAAAGACGGGUAGUUCAGGUCGGAGGAUGGGCUCGAGCAGUUGUAGGUUGAUCUCGUGAUUGUUUGAGUUUGCUCGCGGGUCAAAUUCAUCGAGCAAACAAGAUUCACAAAGUCUUGUGGAGUAGCAUCGUAGACUAGGCCUGGAUCGAGCGCGCGAUUAGGAUCCACAUGCCCUGAUCCAAUGCCUAGAGGCGUGGCGUUACUGUAAUUAAACGCCAUAUCCUUGAUUGGCUGAUUGGUAUUAUCAAGAUGAUUGGCAGUGGUCAUCAUGGCCGAUUGAAUAGCCGAAGGACUCCAAUCGGGGUGUGCUGCUUUGAGAAGCGCAGCAACUCCGGCAAUAUGAGGGCAAGCCAUGGAUGUGCCUGACAAGAGAUUGUAAUCACUCGACAAGAACACGUUCUUACCGAUAACCGGUGCACUAUUAAUACUGUAAGGACUGUUCGCUGCUAAGAUCAGCACUCCUGGUGCCAUUAUGUCGGGCUUCAAUAUCCGGUCAUAGCUUAGUGCAGGCCCUCUAGAUGACGAACCUGAUAGGGCUGGAGCAGCUCUCGGCUCAGUCCCUAUAAUCGUUUGCUGAAAAUCGAUGCUUGCUGUUGGAGAGGUACUACUCGAUGCGUACCUGACCACCUCCACUGAUUGAGCUGGAGUGAUUAUAGCACCGGGAAAUUGAAAAUUAUUGGAUCGAAGUAAGCUUGUGUCAUCGGAAAUAACAAUAACUGCUUGGACAUUGGAAUCCGCCAGAUAGUUCCACAGGAAAAAGAAGAACGGAUCUUCCUCCGUCUUGUUACAGAUGAUUAUGCUGUUGAAUGGUGCUUCCGCCAAUAAUUCGGUUGAGUUGCAGGCAGACAAUGUCUCGUUGUACACAAGGGGCAAGUUUCUGAUAGCUGCUCUUGCGGGAAAAGUGGUCCACCCUGUGAUGGAUUUCCCGUUCCCGAGGGUCACGGUCCCACCGAACCACCGAUCAACAGUCCCCGAUGCAACUUCGACAGCCCACGGCAUUCCUCCUCGCACAGUAGCACCGCUAGGGCCGCCAUUUCCUGCGGCGAAACAAACCAAGACCCCAUGCUCACGAGCACCAAAGGCAGCUACAGCAAUAGGGUUCUCGUAGAGACUGGCCCGCCGAAAAGUAAUCGAAAUUGAGACUAUAUCGACACCGUCAGCCACAGCUUGGUCGAUUCCCGCGAGUACAUCCGAUUCGUAACCUCCGCCGAACAGGACUUUAUACGCCGCCAGCCUGGCACGUGGGGCCACCCCUCGUGCAGUUCCAGGUGCGUAACCGAAGAACGAGACACCCUCGACGUAGUUUCCGGCGGCAGUUGAGGCGACGUGGGUCCCGUGACCAUCGUCGUCCCUUGCUGAAUCGGGGACAGGGGUUUCAGGAAAUGCGGCUCGAGUACCUUGGUUGAAAUAUCUGACUCCGAUGAGUUUCUUGUUGCACAAAGACGAAUUGAAAUCUUGGCCGCCUUGGCAAGUGCCCUUCCACUUUGCUGGGAUAGCGGUCAUGCCUUCAUCACUAAAGCUCGGACUUUCCGGCCAAAUUCCGCCGUCUAAGAUUCCGAUUAUCACAUCUUUGCCGUAGUUGGAUGCCGGCCACAAUCCCGAAGCAGUGUUGAGUGAGAGGAAUUUAUAGGAAUGGGUAGUGGCUGCUGUGACGGCUCCAUCUUCAAAAGCCGAAAGGAAACCCGGUGACUUCUUCAAAGCUUCCAAUUCGUGUUUGUUCAUCACCACACUGAAUCCAUGGAAGGCAUUGUCGUAAGUGUAGAUAAUCUUCAACCCGCGUUCGUCGAGUGAUUUAGCAGAAUUGAGCAUGGAAGAAUACCAAUGAUGGUGGCUCGAAAAUGCCUUUGGCAUGGAGGAUUUGUCCAUGUGGACAAUAUAUGUCGAUCUUUCUGCCGAAACAUCAUCGGCCAAUAGAAAAAUCGAGACAAGAAUUAGAGCAACUGCCAUAAGAGGAAGCAGCUCCAUUGUUUUUUCACUAAUUAGAUCUGAGUUGUGAAUAUGGUAGAUUGGUUUAGACAAGUAGUUAUUAGUACCAUUCUGUUAUAUAAAGAUAUUUGCUGACUUUUCUUUGCUUUUGCCAACCAAUUAUUAUACUUUUUUUUGUUUUUAAAUUCAGUAUAUGUUGCUGUCAUCUUGCCAGCGCAAGUUGAUAAUAUUACAGGAUAAUGCAAAGGGGAUAAAGAAAAAUCCUUGUAUCAUUUUCAAUUACUGUAUGUACCACGUACAUGAUUGGUUUGUAUAGGUGCAUUAGAUUUUAUUUGGACCAUGCAUAUUUCCAAGUACCUAUUACUGUAAAACCUCUCUCUCAGACAUUUCAACAUACACCUUUCAGCAGCAGUGGCUUGAAUUGACUACGAAAUAAUCGCAACAUUCAUCUCUAAAUACAUGUUCGUCUUACACGUAAAUGCGAAUCCUUGAAACAUUUGUCGUUCCAUCAUCAAUCAAGUUUAGCUUAAACUUUAUUUAACCAAUAAGAACUUCACUUUUUAGCGAAGUACCCCUAAAAACUCACUUCUAACAGCGCAAUUUGUUUUCAUUUUUUUUUUUUUUUAAUUUGAAGAAAGUGAAAUAUACAUUUCGUUGGAAUCGAAGUAAGUGAAGAAGAGUGUCAGGUUCUUCAAAAAAUCGCGAGUUCAUUAUAGCGUGAUUCUUUGAUUCUGUAGAAGCGCUGUUGUUUAUCGAUUCUGGGUUCCAACAUUAAUCUUGCAGCACACACGAUAUGCUAAUGUUCGUGCCAUCUGGUAUUUGCAUUUCUGUUUCUCAAGAUUCAUGCACUCAAGAUGUUUGAUUUUUGUCCCAAAAGAACUCCUCUCAAGUCUCAAUCUUUCUCCUCCUUUUUUUUUGUCUUUCCAAUUCACCUUAUGUCCAUUAGUUACGUUAACAAAUCCAUUUUUCUUGUUCCAGCAGACUCUACUCAGUAAAUAUCUUUCUUUUUUUUUCUUUUGAAGUUACUAAGCAAGCAUGCCAUUUUUCUACGUUAGCCAGGAAUUCAAACAAUGUCACGUUGUAUCUCCAAAGGCCAAAGCUGAUUGAUUCAAUGAAGCUGUGUACCCGUUUAAAUGCACCCGAAAGCUCUCCUGUUAACAUCUUUAACAAUCCUUCAAUGGACUCGUUUGUUGUGAUCAAUGCACUUCGGUCAGCUCCCUCGCCCAUCGCAGCCCUCUGUUUGAUCGAAAAUCUAAAAAAGAUAAAAGAUUUUCCUCAUUCCGAAGACACCCUCUAUGCACUGGCCAAGAUUCUUGCUAAAUCCGGAAAAACUAGUAAACUCAGAGCAUUGAUCGAUGCCAUCAAUAAUAGUGGCAAGUUUGUAAAUGUGGCGUAUGUCAGUUUCUUGGAUCGGGUGAAGUGGAAUGCAGGGUGUUUGGGAAGAGUGGAGAAGAGCCUUGGACAAGCUCCCAUGUAACUGCAUCCUAUAAUAUAGUAAUGAAACUUUGUGUUGAGAAGGGCAUGGAAGAAAUGGCAAUAAAUGUAUUCUGCAGGAUGAUCGAUGGAUGGGAGCUCUCGAAUUGUAGAAUCUACAUUAUUAUUAUCCAGCACCUGAUUAAGUUUGAGAAAUUAUAUUCGGCUAUGAAACUAUUUCAAAUGCUACCAUUGAUGCGAUUUCGUCGUACAUCAAAGAAGUAUUAUUCAUUGGUCGAAGUUUUUACAGACUCCGACAAUGUAAAUGUUGCGAAGACUUUACUUAACGAGAUGCGAGCUGACUGGACAUUAAAACAUUCUCCCACUAUGCAAUGCCAUUAUUAUUAUUAAUUUUAGAGGUUUCCAAAGAUCGACUUAUAUCAUGACUAGCGAGUAGCGAGUAGCGACAGAUGAGCUAACAUAGAAUUAACCGAAAUUAUCAACUCCUCCAGAAACCACGAUGGGGCUCCUGACCACGUGCUUGCCAGUUUCCUCAACCCAAGUGAGUGAACCAUGCCUCGGAAAUGCAUUAUUAUCACCCCUGUAACGGAUGUUUAAGGAAUAACUUUGCUUCUCGUAUUUCUUUUGAAACACUAAUGUCUUUGGCUGAAUUCUAACUCUGGUAUUCGCAGGUUUUUCCAGCUUAACUUUAUACGUGGCUGCACCAUCUGCUACAUUCGUCACCGUCCUGUGGAAUGUCCGGUUAAACGUCAUCCCUAUUUCGUCGUUGUUAAAAAGAGCAAUGAAAGACGGGUAAUUCAGGUCGGAGGAUGGGCUCGAGCAGUUAUAGCUUGUUCUGGUGAUUGUUUGAGUUUGCUCCCGAGUGAAAUUCCUGGAGCAAACAAGAUUCACAAAGUCUUGUGGGGAUGCAUCGUAGACUAGGCCUGGAUCAAGCGCGCGAUUGGGAUCCAC